rnacentral:rRNA from 1 species
CAUUGAUGAUAGCUUACAAUUAUCAUCCGCCUGGGAACUACGAGCACCAGCUUAAAACCCAAAGGACUUGGCGGUGCUUUAGACCCACCUAGAGGAGCCUGUUCUAGAACCGAUAACCCCCGUUCAACCUCACCCUUCCUUGUUCUUCCCGCCUAUAUACCACCGUCGUCAGCUUACCCUGUGAAGGAUUAAUAGUAAGCAAAACUGGCAAAGCCCAAAACGUCAGGUCGAGGUGUAGCGUAUGGAAGGGGAAGAAAUGGGCUACAUUCACUAACUCAGUGUACACGAAUGACACCCUGAAACACGUGUCUGAAGGAGGAUUUAGCAGUAAGUAGAAAAUAGAGUGUUCUACUGAAACUGGCCCUGAAGCGCGC